UACGAAGGGGGCAAGCGUUGUUCGGAAUUACUGGGCGUAAAGGGCGCGCAGGCGGCUGAUCAAGUCAGAUGUGAAAGCCCCGGGCUCAACCUGGGAAUAGCAUUUGGGACUGGUCGGCUAGAGUUCGGGAGAGGAGAGUGGAAUUCCCAGUGUAGAGGUGAAAUUCGUAGAUAUUGGGAAGAACACCGGUGGCGAAGGCGGCUCUCUGGACCGAUACUGACGCUGAGGAGCGAAAGCGUGGGGAGCGAACAGG
rnacentral:rRNA from 1 species